UCGCGGCGAGUUCGCGGGCGGCGGCGUGGGGGUGGCCGCUCGGGCCCCUCUGGCGGGGCACGCUCCGUCCUCCCGCACCAGGUCUAGUCCGAGGUGGAGCCGGCCUUCCGAGGUCAGCCCAGCUCCGGACCCGAGUGCGCGGCCGCGGUCGCCAGGUAGAGCCGCUUUCCGGGCCUGGGCGGUCCCUGGCUCCUCAGCCCCAGUCCGAAGGACACCGGGGCGAAGGCGGGAGUCACCAGUGAGCGCCAUUGCCCGGUGCCUUAAGCCACUGGUCUGGUUUGGCGCACACGGAUGCUCUGCCAAGUCGGAAUUGUCGCCCUUAUUUUGGAGGAAACGAAACCGAGGCUCCGGAGAGCAUCACUUCUUAUGACUCAGACCUCGAUUUCAGAAACCCAGAAACCAUGAGGAAUAUGACAGAGCAAAGCAUAUGAGAGAGGAAAUCUUAGGCCUGGUCUUCAGUCUCUCAGUAAUGCAAUGGGUAAAUUUAGGGAAAGAAGAAUAAAAGAGUGGCAGGAAAAGGAAUGGAAAAAUGAAGUCUCCAGAACUCUGAAGAUAAUAAGAAAAGAUGGGAGAAGGAUGGCAUGAAAAAGAGAGGUGAAAGAGAAGGGCUGAGUCUAAUCUAGUGCCGAUCCUAGUCUGUGCUGGUGUCUGACUAUAAACGUCGGAAUUGUCUUUGGGUCUACAGUUAUUGGAAGACGUAAAUGGGUGGGAUAAGCAAGACACCUCACUUGCAUGGACAUCAGCAGGCAGGUCGUUACUUGUCUGCUGGGAAUUCAUCUACAGCUUCAGACAAGGGCCUACACGUUCUCCAUGUGGCUUGUUUUUUUCCCAGCAUGAUGCCUGGACUCCCAAGAGAGCAUCCUGAGUACUAAGUGGCCCCAGAACAAGCAUUUCAAAAAGCCCAGUGCAUCCUGCUCAGCUGUCUCAGUAUUCUGUCUCUGACAAUGGUGAAAAGGGAGCCUAGGAUCUUUUGACAAGGUGAAGCCCUUAAAAGCUGAUCAGAAGCAUCUAUCACCACCACCAUCACCACCUUGGGCAUCGACUUGAGGGAUUUUAUUGUUGAACCGACUUGUUAAGAGGUCCCAAAUUUCCAGUGUCUGUGUGUCUUUUCUCCUGGGAAGGACUAUGCGUCCCCACCCGCGGCCCCCUGCCUGAGGUGAAAUGAGCCUAUCCGAUGUAUUCUGGACAUUGGCGGGAAAAGGAGACUGCAGGUAUCAUGGUGCAGCAUGAUUGGGGGGUGGUAGGGAGGGUCCUGGUGGCCUGACUGCUCUUUACACAAAAUUUUAACCAGUUACGCUUGUACAUUUGUGUGGUAAAAUAUACAUAGAACUUACUAUUUCAACCAUUUUUAAGCAUACAACUCAGUGGCAUUAAGUACAUUCACAGUGAUGUGUAGCAAUCACCACUAUCCAUACCCAAACCUUUGUCAUCAUCUUCAACAAAAUCUCCACGCAUUAAACACCAACACUCUGUCCCCCUUCUCCUGGUUCCUGGUGACCUCCGUUCUGUCUGUCUCUGUGAACUGGCCUAUUCUGGUACCUCAUGUAAGAAUUAUACAGUAUUUGUCCUUCUGUGUUCUUCACACCUUUUGACCUUUAUAUUUUUCAGUAACUCAGAUUAAGUCAGUGCCCAAGGCCAUCAGCUCUGAAUGGCAACAUGGCCACAGGAACCAGUGUCAAAAGACACUAGUCUCAACUGUUGGGCCGCUACUACCUCAGUGGUUGACUUUUGCCAUCCAUAUGCCUGUGUAUCCAUAUGUAGCAGGGAUUUUGCAUUUGCCAUUAAAUACUGAAUGUUUUUCAAACCAUUAGGAAUUCUCUGAAACAUUUUAACGCUUCCUAACAGUCAUUUUUUAUGUAUCAUGCUUUAUUUUUUAUUGUUUUGAAUUUUAAGUAACAGUAUAUACCUUCGUACAUAAAUACCUGUAUUUCUGACUAGAACUCUAUGGUAAAAGAGAAUGUUAUUUCUGGUUCAAACAAUAGAACAUAAUUAUUAUUUGAUACUUGUUAAAUUACCCUUCAGAAAUUAGCAAGUUUAUAAUACAAGUAUUCUUAAGUCAUUUUCAUUACUACUAAUUUUAAUUAGGUAAAAAUAAGGUUCUACUGGUUUUAAGAGUCUUUAAUAACUGGUAAAGAAUAUUUUUCAUUUUCUCUAUAUUGCUUAGGCCACUAGCUCAUUUUCUAUUCUGUAUUUUAAGGUAUUCAUGUGAACCUUUUCCUAUAUUUUGUGCCAUAUUUUUUCCCCCAAUUUUUCCCUCAUUUUAAAUUUGAUGAAUUAAUGGGUGAAACAGAAUAGUCCAGCAUUCAGUCAUUUUGUCUGGUUUCCUCACUUGAGAUCUAGAUUUUUUUCAUGGUGAGGGGUUAACACUUUCAUUGCCUUUGUGGUUUCAAAGUAGAGAUAUUUUUAUUGCUUUUAGUAAUUAAGAAACUAGUAAGUUUUCUUUUCAAAAGCACUCACUGGUAUAGAAAUAUAGAAAGCAGGAAAUAAAAGGCUCCAUAAUCAUAUUCUCGUGUAACCAUCUGCAGAACGUAUGGGGAGAUUCAGUCGUAAAUACAAAGAAAAAUAAUACAUGAAAAAAAUGAGGCAAUUAUUAACCCUAGGGAAAAUAUAAUCAUAGCACAGUCAUUGGUUCUGAAGUGAACAGUAUUUCAAUGGGUGAAAAUAUAAACAAUAAAUAUGGAUUUAACCAAAAAUUUUAACAUAGCCAUAUUGGGAAGAGGGAGGAGGGUGGGGGGGAAGUAAACGAGAUUGAAAUAUCCUCCUUUAUCCUUUUAUGUAUUAAUUGGCAGAAAUCUAUGUAUUUUAUUUAGCAAUAGAUAUAUAUACACGUGAAGAGAAACAGCUAAAGCAGCUGGCUGCUUCUGGGGAAUGGAACUUGGUGCCAAAGGCAGGACAAAUUACUGC